AACAGAACACGCAAAACUGACCAUUUAGAUCAGUGCUUCUGUGACCAGUUUGGUUACCGGAAUUGGUGGUUGAUCAUGACGAUUCUUUGGCCCGCUGUGUGACUUGAAGACAUAUCUUGAACCUGCAGCUCACAGACUGAGCAUGAAGAACUGCUGUCAUCCUAGGAGGAAAAAGAGAAUCCAGGAGACUUCCUUUGCCAAGAUGAUUAAAUUUUCUAAGGGGGAUGUCAUAACUGAACGAAAAUAGCCUCAUCCAUCAAUAGUCUUAUUUCGGCAUGAAAAUCUUCAGACAUCUGUUGGACCACAUUGAAAUCUCAGCAUGGAAAUCUUCAGACAUAAGUUGGACAACAUUGAAUCAAGAACCAUGAAGAGCCUUUGUUUAAACUCUGUAAUAUCUUGAGCAGAUAUUACAGUUACCUGGAGUUAUUGGGUCAAGAAGACAUAAGCACUUAACACUAUGUAUAGUAUUUCAACAUUUUCAUACUAUCAUAAAUAUUCACGUACAUGCUCUUAUAAACUAAACAAAAAAAAAAAUGCUAAACUUUAUGAACUGUUGUCAUUUAAGUCAGGCAGAAAUGAAAAGUAAAAAUCACUAGGUUCAACUUUUGGGUUCAGUGAAGGGUUCCUUCCACAAUCACAAUUUAGGUUCCCCUUGUAUUUCAUGUCGUGCCUGGAAUCAUAUUAUCUUUGGAGUCUCCAAAAUCCCAGUUACAAAGAUGGCACUAUCACUGUCAAUCAAAAUCAUUGUCACUGAAUCUCUCCACUGAGGGUUCUACAACUGUCACUACAGAUUUCUCAUCCCUGACAACAAUGCAAAGAAGCGCUCAUCCACAAAGUUGAAGGGUUAUUCUGUUAGUACCCAGUAAGUAUGCUAUUAAUUUCAUAAAUGGGAACCAUUUGUUCAACCUUGCUCAAUUUAUUCUUACAGAAGCCCAUAAAAACGUUAUUUCCAUUUGGAAUUUCCCCCAAAAAGUGCCACUUGAGUGUUUUACGGUCCAAAAGGUUCUUGCAAUGGUAAGAAUAUGUAACUGCAAUAAUUAUGAUCUGCUAUAAAGUUAGCCUACACCUCUGGCCAUUAAGAAAUAAGUAGAAUUAAAGGUCUUGUAGUUAAAUGGAAAUUGUACAGUGGUAAUAUGUCAGCAGGGCGAGGAUCUUGGAGAAAAUAUUCAUCAGUGAAUGAAUGACUCUUUCCCCUAAACUUAAGUACCAUAUAAACCAUAUGUCCUUUUUGGGCGUUUCCCCAUAUCGGAUUACCAAUCUAUUUAUUUUUUCUCGGCGCUGGAGAUCUCUCAAGACCUUUUUGUCUCAGAAUCCAAUAAAAAUCUAUUAGUACCCAUUUUUCAGUCACAUUGAAACUUGAAAUAGGCAGAGCACUUCUUGAAUCACACACACCUAUGUGCCCCUCUGCAUUGCAUUUCAUGCUCAUUCUCACUCAUUCCUUUUUGUUGCCUUAAUCACCCAUACCCUUACUCCCAUUGAGUGAUGAAUCUCUCUCUCUCUCUCGCGCGCUUUUUUCCUGUAGGAGGGUAGUGCCACUAUUGCAUCUCACACGAUAUACUGUAGGCAUUACGUACUACUUAAGUUUCUUUCUUGCAGCGUCCCUAAGCUCCUCCUCAUUCCUUUGACUGUACCACCAUUCCUAUUCUCUUUUUCCAGCAUACUUUCGACCCUCUCCUAACCAUUGUUUUAUAGUGCAAGAAGAUUGAGGUUUCCCCCUGUUACUCCUUUGAAACCUGUUUUACUCUCAAUCUUCCUGUCUGCGCUGAAUGACCUCAUAUAGGCCCCAGUGCUUGCUCUUUGGGCCAACCUUGUAUUCUAAUUCUAAUAACCUUUUACAUAAUUUCACUGCUUACCUUCCUGGGGCUCUAGAUCGUCGUUGCAAGUCUGUUAUUGGACUAGGAAAAAAGAACUUGUCAUGCCAGUGCACUUGAGUUAGUCAG